UACGUAGGGUGCAAGCGUUGUCCGGAAUUAUUGGGCGUAAAGAGCUCGUAGGCGGUCUGUCGCGUCGAAUGUGAAAUCCCGAGGCUCAACCUCGGGUCUGCAUUCGAUACGGGCAGACUAGAGUUCGGUAGGGGAGUCUGGAAUUCCUGGUGUAGCGGUGAAAUGCGCAGAUAUCAGGAGGAACACCGGUGGCGAAGGCGGGACUCUGGGCCGAUACUGACGCUGAGGCACGAAAGCGUGGGGAGCAAACAGG
rnacentral:rRNA from 1 species